UACGUAGGGGGCGAGCGUUGUCCGGAAUUAUUGGGCGUAAAGGGCGUGUAGGCGGCCGAUCAAGUCAGGUGUGAAAUUCCAGGGCUCAACCCUGGUACUGCAUUUGAAACUGUGUAGCUUGAGUACAGGAGAGGAAAGUGGAAUUCCCAGUGUAGCGGUGAAAUGCGUAGAUAUUGGGAGGAACACCAGUGGCGAAGGCGACUUUCUGGACUGUAACUGACGCUGAGGCGCGAAAGCGUGGGGAGCAAACAGG
rnacentral:rRNA from 1 species